AUUAUAGGAAUAUGUUAAAACCUAAACCCCUGAAUGUGAUUCUUUUUAAGAUGAACCAAAAACAAUUCCUGUCAUACACUAAAGUUAAUUUUAUGUUAUUACUGAGUUGUUUAUUAAUUAUUCUAAUAAACUUUGUAUGAUUAAUUUUACAGUACAUCACUGAGUAGCUUUUUUCCAGUGAUGGUGUACCUAGUUUAAAUAUCAAAGGAAAAACCUUAGUGAGCAAGUUUCAAGAAACAGAAAAGAGAUAUAUUUGUAUACAAUUUUUCAAUAAAACAAUUGAUUUGAGUACAUAAAUGGACAGUUG